rnacentral:rRNA from 1 species
AUUGAACGCUGGCGGCAUGCCUUACACAUGCAAGUCGAGCGGCAGCGCGGGGGCAACCCUGGCGGCGAGCGGCGAACGGGUGAGUAAUACAUCGGAACGUGUCCAGUAGCGGGGGAUAACCUGUCGAAAGAUAGGCUAAUACCGCAUACGACCUACGGGUGAAAGCGGGGACCGCAAGGCCUCGCACUAUUGGAGCGGCCGAUGUCGGAUUAGCUAGUUGGCGGGGAACGGCCCACCAAGGCGACGAUCCGUAGCUGGUCUGAGAGGACGACCAGCCACACUGGAACUGAGACACGGUCCAGACUCCUACGGGAGGCAGCAGUGGGGAAUUUUGGACAAUGGGCGCAAGCCUGAUCCAGCCAUGCCGCGUGAGUGAAGAAGGCCUGC